rnacentral:rRNA from 1 species
UACGAAGGGUGCAAGCGUUAAUCGGAAUUACUGGGCGUAAAGCGUGCGUAGGCGGUUUCUUAAGUCUGCUGUGAAAUCCCCGGGCUCAACCUGGGAAUGGCGAUGGAUACUGGGCAGCUAGAGUGUGUCAGAGGAUGGUGGAAUUCCCGGUGUAGCGGUGAAAUGCGUAGAGAUCGGGAGGAACAUCAGUGGCGAAGGCGGCCAUCUGGGACAACACUGACGCUGAAGCACGAAAGCGUGGGGAGCAAACAGG